AACCUGGUUGAUCUUGCCAGUAGUCAUAUGCUUGUCUCAAAGAUUAAGCCAUGCAAGUGAAAGUAUAUAUAUAUUUAUUAUAUAGAAACUGCGAACGGCUCAUUAAAACAGUUAUAAUCUACUUGACAUUUUUUUUAUAAGGAUAACUACGGAAAAGCUGUAGCUAAUACUUGAACGAUUGUUCUUCAGUUCCCCAAAAAGGUUCUGUAGAACACGUAUUUGUUAAGCCUAAUAAGAAAAAAGUUAUUAACUUAAGGAAUUAUAACAAAGAAGGAACACAUAAUAAAACUUUGUUUUAUUUAGUGUGUAUCAAUCGAGUUUCUGACCUAUCAGCUUUUGAUGUUAGGGUAUUGGCCUAACAUGGCUAUGACGGGUAACGGGGAAUUAGAGUUCGAUUCCGGAGAGGGAGCCUGAGAAAUAGCUACCACAUCUAAGGAAGGCAGCAGGCGCGUAAAUUACCCAAUUCUAAAGAAGAGAGGUAGUGACAAGAAAUAACAAGGUAAGGUCAAAUUUUGGCUUUGCCAUUGGAAUGAUAGGAAUUUAAAAACUUCCUAAAGUAACAAUUGGAGGGCAAGUCUGGUGCCAGCAGCCGCGGUAAUUCCAGCUCCAAUAGCGUAUAUUAAAAUUGUUGCAGUUAAAACGCUCGUAGUUGAAUUUCAAAGAAUCAAUAAUUAGCGAAUACAAUAUCAGAUAUGUGUUAAAUAUAGUGCUUCGGCUUAUAUUUUCCACAUUUCUGAAUAUAUGUAUUGUUAAAAAUAUAAUAGGUUCUUUUAUAAAAAUUCUUCGUUGCUUUAUGUGAUGAGAAUUUUUUGUUACUUUGAGUAAAUUAGAGUGUUCAAAGCAGACGGUUUAUAAAACAGGUAAAACUGGGUUUGAAUA